rnacentral:rRNA from 1 species
CCUACGGGAGGCAGCAGUGAGGGAUAUUGGUCAAUGGACGAGAGUCUGAACCAGCCAAGUAGCGUGAAGGAUGACUGCCCUAUGGGUUGUAAACUUCUUUUAUAUGGGAAUAAAAUGUUCCACGUGUGGGAUUUUGUAUGUACCAUAUGAGUAAGGAUCGGCUAACUCCGUGCCAGCAGCCGCGGUAAUCCGGAGGAUCCGGGCGUUAUCCGGAUUUAUUGGGUUUAAAGGGAGCGUAGGUGGAUUGUUAAGUCAGUUGUGAAAGUUUGCGGCUCAACCGUAAAAUUGCAGUUGAAACUGGCAGUCUUGAGUACAGUAGAGGUGGGCGGAAUUCGUGGUGUAGCGGUGAAAUGCUUAGAUAUCACGAAGAACUCCGAUUGCGAAGGCAGUUCACUGGACUGCAACUGACACUGAGGCUCGAAAGUGUGGGUAUCAAACAGGAUUAGAUACCCCAGUAGUC